rnacentral:rRNA from 1 species
UAGGGAAUAUUGGGCAAUGGACGAGAGUCUGACCCAGCCAUGCCGCGUGCAGGAAGAAGGCUUUCUGAGUCGUAAACUGCUUUUGAUAGGGAAGAAUAAGGCGUACGUGUACGCUGAUGACGGUACCUACAGAAUAAGCACCGGCUAACUCCGUGCCAGCAGCCGCGGUAAUACGGAGGGUGCGAGCGUUGUCCGGAUUUAUUGGGUUUAAAGGGUGCGUAGGCGGCCCGUUAAGUCCGGGGUGAAAGCCCGUUGCUCAACAACGGAACUGCCCUGGAUACUGGCGGGCUUGAGUAUAGUGGAGGUUGGCGGAAUGGACCGAGUAGCGGUGAAAUGCAUAGAUACGGUCCAGAACCCCGAUUGCGAAGGCAGCUGACUACACUACUACUGACGCUGAGGCACGACAGCGUGGGGAGCGAACAG